AGAUUGAACGCUGGCGGCAGGCCUAACACAUGCAGGUCGAGCGGUAGAGAGGUGCUUGCAUCUCUUGAGAGCGGCGGACGGGUGAGUAAUGCCUAGGAAUCUGCCUAGUGGUGGGGGAUAACGUUCGGAAACGGACGCUAAUACCGCAUACGUCCUACGGGAGAAAGCGGGGGACCUUCGGGCCUCGCGCCAUUAGAUGAGCCUAGGUCGGAUUAGCUAGUUGGUGAGGUAAUGGCUCACCAAGGCGACGAUCCGUAACUGGUCUGAGAGGAUGAUCAGUCACACUGGAACUGAGACACGGUCCAGACUCCUACGGGAGGCAGCAGUGGGGAAUAUUGGACAAUGGGCGAAAGCCUGAUCCAAGCCAUGCCGCGUGUGUGAAGAAGGCCUUGAUUGUAAAGACACUUAAGUUAGGAGGAAGGGUUAGUAACGUAAUAACGUUAGCAACUUUAGACGUUACGAACAAGAAUAAAGACACGACGUAACCUUACGUGUCCACGCAGACCG
rnacentral:rRNA from 1 species